AACACCCAUAAAAGAUGCAUUUCGCUUGGUCUUACUGUGCCUUCCAGUAUAUAAGAAAUUAAUCUGACUACAGCAUCUCAACUUGAAGGUUUAGAAACUAAGAUUCGGAAUGGAAGUUACAUAAUGUGUUCUCCUGUGUAGCAGUAUUGGAGGCAAGGAAGAUAUAAUGGCAAGGUACACAUGGCCAAGUUCUCCGCAAACAGUUUCAUCACCUUGUACCACGAUAACAUAGUACCAACCGCAAAGAUUCAGCCGCAAUCUACUAUAAAACUCUCUCGCAUCGGAGGUAAAAUGUUGCUACCGGCUACUGACCAAGAACUCUAUGAAACCAUUAUGUUCCCAUUGCGGGCAAUAAUACAGAAUCGGUGUAAGGAGAAUUCAUUGGGCAAGUUGCAAUAAACGUGUGAUGUUAAUACUCAGAUUGCAGUGGAACAGUUGUUGCAACCUUAUCAAGCCAAUUAGGAAAAAAAUUUCUUGAAAUUACCUCUGCAGAAAUGUAUGAAAUAAUCUCUGUAAAGGUAUGUUAAUGAGAAUAAGAGACUGUUAGUCAUUUCUGAGCAUUUAUUGUACAUUAGAAAAACAAUCUACCCUUGUUGAGAUGCCAUUGAGAUAAAAAAGCUUGAAAUAGUCUCGGCUAAAGAGCUUUCACAACCCAUGGUGUCAUUGUUUAGGUUUCCUUGGUUUACCACCAAAUGCAAACUUGUUUCGGGCCAGAGGUGCACCUUUAAGUUAUA